UUGUCAUUUGAAAGGAGAGCCAGUUAGCACUCCCCUAGACAAGGAUGGAAAUACACAUGACCUGGAGGUGGCACCAGAGUCUCCAGGCGCCCAUUUUUUUUU
rfam:Lutzomyia longipalpis Contig18370, whole genome shotgun sequence.